rnacentral:rRNA from 1 species
CUAAUACCGCAUAAGACCACAGCACCGCAUGGUGCAGGGGUAAAAACUCCGGUGGUAUGAGAUGGACCCGCGUCUGAUUAGCUAGUUGGUGGGGUAACGGCCUACCAAGGCGACGAUCAGUAGCCGACCUGAGAGGGUGACCGGCCACAUUGGGACUGAGACACGGCCCAAACUCCUACGGGAGGCAGCAGUGGGGAAUAUUGCACAAUGGGGGAAACCCUGAUGCAGCGACGCCGCGUGAGCGAAGAAGUAUUUCGGUAUGUAAAGCUCUAUCAGCAGGGAAGAAAAUGACGGUACCUGACUAAGAAGCCCCGGCUAACUACGUGCCAGCAGCCGCGGUAAUACGUAGGGGGCAAGCGUUAUCCGGAUUUACUGGGUGUAAAGGGAGCGUAGACGGCGAGGCAAGUCUGAUGUGAAAACCCGGGGCUCAACCCCGUGACUGCAUUGGAAACUGUUUUGCUUGAGUGCCGGAGAGGUAAGCGGAAUUCCUAGUGUAGCGGUGAAAUGCGUAGAUAUUAGGAGGAACACCAGUGGCGAAGGCGGCUUACUGGACUGUAACUGACGUUGAGGCUCGAAAGCGUGGGGAGCAAACAGGAUUAGAUACCCUGGUAGUCCACGCCGUAAAC